CCUUCUUAUAUCUAUCUAUUUAUCAUCUAUAUAGUAAACAAAACUCCAAAGUGAAAAGUGCAGUGCAGAGCAGGUGUAAGAGAAUGAUUGAAAUAUGGGAUGAUUUGGUUGGUGAAAUAUUGGUAAGGCUGCUAGUGAAGUCAUUAUUGAGAUUCAAAUGCGUUGAUAAGAGAUGGAAUGAUUUGUUCAGAAAACCAACAUUCACUAAUAGGAACAUGAAAAUACAUGAGAAGAAGAAGAAACAACGUGUGAUGAUUCGUGAGAGUGAUGAGCCUCCUCGUUUUAUGAUCUUAGAGAAUGAUGAGAUAUUGGAAUUCGACUGGCAAAACCCAUUUCCUGAUGAUCGUGUGAUAUGGACAUUGGAAUUUGACGGGACCUACAAUGGUAUUUUUUUAUCGAUCUAUAAAUUUUUAUCUUUGGAAUCCUACCACUAGUGAAAUAAAGCUCAUCCCCACUCCUCCUUUUCUUGACCCCCCUCCUCCUUCUUACACCUAUAUAAGUACCUUUUGUGGUUUUGGUGGUGAUCCUGACACUAGUGACUUCAAGGUUCUCUAUAUCGUCUCCAUUGGAGAACAAAUCCCUAACCAAACAUUCCCUCAUUCUUCCGAUGAGGAUGAUUAUAAAUUUGAUAUUGUCUAUACUUAUCUUCCAACCACUUUUGAGCUAUACAAUCUUAGUACUAAUUCUUGGACUCUUCUGGAUUUAGUGUUGCCCGUUAAAUGUAACACUAACUAUUUUCAGGAUGGUUUUCUUUUCAAUGGAGUUCUCCAUUGGGUUAGUGUUGGCGAAAAACAAGAAGAUGAGGACUGCAUACUUCGCUUUGACUUUCGCAACAAUCAAUUUACUACAAUUGACCUCCCAUCAGAAGUCGAUGACUUAUCAUAACACUUUUGCUGAGAUUAAUGAUUCUCUUGCUUAUAAAAAAAUCGCAAUUAUCCCCCAAACUGGGGUUACUCUGUUGUUGAAAUUUGGACUUUGGAACAAGACACUUGUUAUUGGACCAAAAAACACAUCUUUAAGCCACUUCAUUAUCUUGUUAGUAUCUACUACUUUUGGAAGGAUGCUCCUGAACUUCUUGGAUCGUGCACACACCGUAAUGGAGAAUUUUACUUAGUGUCAUAUCACCCUGAUGGUCAUAUAGCGCGUCGUUUUGAACAAAUUACUCUUCAUGAUAGACGCCUUUAUGAUCCAGUGCGUAAGUAUGUGCAAAUUAUAGCACCAUUGUCCUUAUCCUAGCUCAGUACGACUAUAACACUAUGAUCCUCUAUAAUAAAAAGAUGUUAAUUUCUUUUCAACUCCUACCUUAUGUAAGAUGAAUACAGUAUCAAUUAUACAAAUGUUAGGCGAGUCGAAUGAGCCUGCUCUGCUUGUAUGUUUAUGAUUAUUUCAAUUGAAUAAAUUAUCAUGUUUAUUAUGAUUUUCGGACAUUAAGUUGUCAUUCUAAUUAAAACAAGGAUUAGUUGGAACUGUUGCGGUAAAGAAGGUUGUGGUGAUAAAAUUAUUUUUUCUCAUCCCCUUUAGAGUUGUUGUAUGUAGUUUCUGUCAUCACAUUCAUUGAGACCAAAGUUAAGAAAUUAAUUAUAUAUUAUCAAUUUCUUCCCCCCUAACUUUCUAUGAUCAAAACAGAGAGAAAUUUUUUAGCUUCAUAUGAUAAGAGUGGUUCUCUAGAUUUCUUUCCUUAUACACAUCCCACAAAAUUAAGAAUUAAACCUCUUAAAAAUUUCCUAUUAGCUCCACAAGCCUCAAAAUAAUAUCCCUUAAACAUUCAACUUAGACCCUUGUUUUAAGGCCAAUUAAUCUUGUGGUAGAAUAGUGGAAAGCAAUGUAAUGUCAUGUCCACUACAUUGUACAUUAUAUGCCUUAGUGAAUUAAAGUUAGUUUUGCUACAAUUGACCUCCCAUCAGAAGUCGAUGACUUAUCAUAACACUUUUGCUGAGAUUAAUGAUUCUCUUGCUUAUAAAAAAAUCGCAAUUAUCCCCCAAACUGGGGUUACUCUGUUGUUGAAAUUUGGACUUUGGAACAAGACACUUGUUAUUGGACCAAAAAACACAUCUUUAAGCCACUUCAUUAUCUUGUUAGUAUCUACUACUUUUGGAAGGAUGCUCCUGAACUUCUUGGAUCGUGCACACACCGUAAUGGAGAAUUUUACUUAGUGUCAUAUCACCCUGAUGGUCAUAUAGCGCGUCGUUUUGAACAAAUUACUCUUCAUGAUAGACGCCUUUAUGAUCCAGUGCGUAAGUAUGUGCAAAUUAUAGCACCAUUGUCCUUAUCCUAGCUCAGUACGACUAUAACACUAUGAUCCUCUAUAAUAAAAAGAUGUUAAUUUCUUUUCAACUCCUACCUUAUGUAAGAUGAAUACAGUAUCAAUUAUACAAAUGUUAGGCGAGUCGAAUGAGCCUGCUCUGCUUGUAUGUUUAUGAUUAUUUCAAUUGAAUAAAUUAU
rnacentral:lncRNA from 1 species